UACGUAGGGGGCAAGCGUUGUUCGGAAUUACUGGGCGUAAAGGGCUUGUAGGCGGCCUACUAAGUCGGACGUGAAAUCCCUCGGCUUAACCGGGGAACUGCGUCCGAUACUGGAUGGCUUGAGUUCGGGAGAGGGAUGCGGAAUUCCAGGUGUAGCGGUGAAAUGCGUAGAUAUCUGGAGGAACACCGGUGGCGAAGGCGGCAUCCUGGACCGACACUGACGCUGAGGAGCGAAAGCCAGGGGAGCAAACGGG
rnacentral:rRNA from 1 species